AGUACCCUUUUGAGAUAUUAAAAACAAAUUAAGCAAAAAGUCCAUUGUUCCCUUCUCUGUUUUUUUCUUUCUUUCACUUCCCUUCGAGUUAUACUCCUUCAAAAUCUUCGCCAACUCUUCUCUUCUCCUUCCUCAUCCUUCCCCCAGAAACACUAGAUUUAGGGUUAGGGUUUGAGUUUUGAAUUUCCGAUUCAAACGUAAUCGACGACGGUGUCUAAGUAUUCAAAUGUGUGAGCAUUAGACGCUGAACUGAAGCGGUCAGAUCCCAAACAAAAUAAAAACAGAGAGAGAGAGAGAGAGAGGAAACGAUGAAGUAAUGGCGAGCAAGGAAGAGAGCGCAGUGAAGGAGACUGCUCUUGCCAAUCUUAUUGUAAGGUUUUUUGUCAUAGCUUUAAAAAAUGACCCACUGUGUUUUCAAUUUUGUUUUCAGUUAGGUAUUUACGCUAAUCUGAUCAUAUACCAAGAUAAUUCCUUGCAAGCAGUAUGGUCAAACAAUGAAGGUGAUCGAAGACUUAUUAGGGUGGAUAUUGUUAAUUGAGGAUUUCAAUAUUUGACCCUCGUCUUGGAAUGGAUGGCAGUGAUGAGAAUUCAAUUGUAAAGUGGUAUCUGAGAUGAUGUGAGAGGUGUAGAAUAAGGCAGCAACACAAACAUGGAAAAGUUUGAAGUUUCUAUUUAACGUGAUUGCAUGCCAGCAGCAAUACAAUAUGUUGGAAUGUUUAACAUCCUGAACAGCUCAUAUCUGGUAGCUAGAUCAUUCUUUUGAAGUUAGUGAAGAGCAAUAAUUUUAUGGAAAGCCAGCUUUCCUACUUGUAUAUAUGUUUAUAAUUUUCCAAAGAUGAAGUGUUGAUAAUGACCCUGCAUCUUUUUUACUGUGCCUUAACGAUGAGUUGUUACCACUCUUAGUAAAAUAAUGAGCACUAGUGUAGUUAUGAUUCAUGUCCAAGUAGUAUUUGUACCUUUUCAAUGAUGUUAUUGUAUAAUACUUCUGUACAUUAUAAGCAAAUAAUGGAAGCUCACUUUAAUAUGUUUUCUA